rnacentral:rRNA from 1 species
CCUACGGGAGGCAGCAGUGGGGGAUAUUGCACGAUGGGGGAAACCCUGAUGCAGCGACGCCGCGUGGGUGAAGAAGUAUUUCGGUAUGUAAAGCCCUAUCAGCAGGGAAGAAAGAAGACGGUACCUGACUAAGAAGCCCCGGCUAACUACGUGCCAGCAGCCGCGGUAAUACGUAGGGGGCGAGCGGUAUCCGGAUUCACUGGGUGUAAAGGGAGCGUAGACGGCCGUGCAAGCCAGGAGUGAAAGCCCGGGGCCCAACCCCGGGACUGCUCUUGGAACUGGGCGGCUGGAGUGCGGGAGGGGCAGGCGGAAUUCCUGGUGUAGCGGUGAAAUGCGUAGAUAUCAGGAGGAACACCGGCGGCGAAGGCGGCCUGCUGGACCGCGACUGACGUUGAGGCUCGAAAGCGUGGGGAGCGAACAGGAUUAGAUACCCGGGUAGUC